rnacentral:rRNA from 1 species
UAAUUCUAGAGCUAAUACAUGCUGGUAUGCCCAACUUUUCGGAAGGGCGGUAUUUAUUAGAUAACAAGCCAAUAUUCCUCUGGUCUAUUGUGGUGACUCAUAAUAACUGAUCGAAUCGCAAAGCCUAUGGCUGCGAUAAGUCAUUCAAGUUUCUGCCCCAUCAGCUUUCGAUGGUAGUGUAUUGGACUACCAUGGCGUUUACGGGUAACGGAGGAUUAGGGUUCGAUUCCGGAGAGGGAGCCUGAGAAACGGCUACCACAUCUAAGGAAGGCAGCAGGCGCGUAAAUUACCCAAUCCUGACUCAGGGAGGUAGUGACAAGAAAUAACGGACCGGGGCCUUACGGCUUCGGGAUU